UUGCCAGUUAGUGGCUCAGUCAGUACAGCAUGAGACUCUUAAUCUCAGGGUUGUGGGUUCAAGCCCUAGAAUGCAAA